AACUAACCACAGACUGGCCGGCUUGGCUGGGCUGGCCGAGUAUUUCUUCAAAAGGCUCACCUUCAAGCAUGACUAGGAGC
rnacentral:pre_miRNA from 1 species